CUUCAAUAAAUCCAUUCAUUUAGUUUUGUUCAAUUUCAUACAUUAAUUUAUGACAGUGAGAUUGAGUUGGACCCUCUCAACACUGAAGACGGAGAUGACAGGUAACCUCAAACCUGAGUUUAUUGCUAAUUCAAUACCUUCAGAAGUCCAACCACUUCUAUGAAUUCUCAUGUUUACAUAAGACAGACCCAGGCUCUGUUCUCAACUCUACCUGAAUCCCCAAAGAUAUAAUUUUUUAUAAUGCCUGCUAGUUGCUCACUGGUCUACAGACCACUUAUAAAAGUCUAUCACAGCUGCUUAGCAACGGAAAACCUCAGAAGAGCUUCAUAGGAGAAGGAACCAUAGGACUUGCCCAGGACCAUCCCACAAGAUCAUCAAAGCACCCUAACAGAUAUAAAAUUCCAUGACUCCAUUAACCAUUUCUUUUCAUGGUGUACAUCCUUGCCUUAUGUGUUAUUGAUUUCUACUUGCUUUAUUACUUGCCAGUGAAAGGAUACUAUAAUAGGAAGAGACAUGACUCUGUUUUUCCUCUAUCUCCAGCUCCAGCAGAAUGAAAUGUGAUAGGUAAUCAGAUACCAAAGGAGCCUAAGUGAAGUGAAUUUUAAAGCCCUCAGGCUCUUUGAGGAUCACCUGGUCUCUAACACUUGGGCUGGCUGCUUCACCUACGAAAUGGGAAGGAUUUGCCAAAA
rnacentral:lncRNA from 1 species